UAACCUGCUAAAUAGCCCAACCGGCUUUGGCUGGCUGCUGGCUUCUUAGAGGGACAUUCGGCUCAAGCCGACGGAAGUUUGAGGCAAUAACAGGUCUGUUAUGCCCUUAGAUGUUCUGGGCCGCACGCGCGCUACACUGACAGAGCCAGCGGGUUGUUUUCCUUGACUGAAAGGUUUGGGUAAACCUGGAAACUCUGUCGUGCUGGGGAUAGAGCAUUGCAAUUAUUGCUCUUCAACGAGGAAUGCCUAGUAAGCGCAUGUCAUCAGCAUGCGUUGAUUACGUCCCUGCCCUUUGUACACACCGCCCGUCGCU
rnacentral:rRNA from 1 species